rnacentral:rRNA from 1 species
AGCUCUCAAGGUGUAUAUCGCCAUUGCUGCGGUUAAAAAGCUCGUAGUUGGAUCUGCGCCUUCGGACUCGGUCCGCCCAACGGGUGUGAACUGGGAUCCAAGGCUUAUACUGCUGGUUUUCCCUAGAUGCUCUUUACUGGGUGUCUAGGGUGGCUAGCGAGUUUACUUUGAAAAAAUUAGAGUGCUCAACACAGGCUAACGCCUGAAUACUCGUGCAUGGAAUAAUAGAAUAAGACCACGGUUCUAUUUUAUUGGUUUUCGGAACUGUGAUAAUGGUUAAGAGGGACAGACGGGGGCAUUCGUAUCGCUGCGUGAGAGGUGAAAUUCUUGGACCGCAGCGAGACGCCCUACUGCGAAAGCAUUUGCCAAGAAUGUCUUCG